ensembl:snRNA U6 U6 spliceosomal RNA
GUGCUCGCUUUGGCAGCACAUUUACUAAAAUGGGAAUGAUACAGAGUAGAUUAGCAUGGCCCCCGUGCAAGGAUGACACCCAAAUUCAUGAAGCGUUCCAUAUUUAG